AUUGAACGCUGGCGGCAGGCCUAACACAUGCAAGUCGAACGGUAACAGGGAUCAGCUUGCUGAUUCGCUGACGAGUGGCGGACGGGUGAGUAAUGUCUGGGAAACUGCCUGAUGGAGGGGGAUAACUACUGGAAACGGUAGCUAAUACCGCAUAACGUCGCAAGACCAAAGAGGGGGACCUUCGGGCCUCUUGCCAUCGGAUGUGCCCAGAUGGGAUUAGCUAGUAGGUGGGGUAACGGCUCACCUAGGCGACGAUCCCUAGCUGGUCUGAGAGGAUGACCGCCACACCUGAACUUGAGCACCGUCCCGACUCCCUACGGGGGGCAGCGUUGGGAAUUUUGGCCCAUUGGCGGAAAGCUUGUGCAGGCCAGGCCGCUUUAAUGAAGAAGGCCUCCGGGUUGUAAAUUCCUUUCACCGGGGAGGAAGGGGUUAAAUUUAAACCCUUUCCUCAUUGACGUUACCGCAGAAGAAGCACCGGCUAACUCCGUG
rnacentral:rRNA from 1 species